rnacentral:rRNA from 1 species
UACAGAGGAUGCAAGCGUUAUCCGGAAUUAUUGGGCGUAAAGCGUCUGUAGGUGGCUCUUUAAGUUCGCCGUCAAAUCCCAGGGCUCAACCCUGGACAGGUGGUGGAAACUACCAAGCUAGAGUACGGUAGGGGCAGAGGGAAUUUCCGGUGGAGCGAUGAAAUGCGUAGAGAUCGGAAGGAACACCCAAGGCGAAAGCGCUCUGCUGGGCCGACACUGACACUGAGAGACGAAAGCUAGGGGAGCAAAUGGG